rnacentral:rRNA from 1 species
GAUGAACGCUGGCGGCGUGCCUAAUACAUGCAAGUCGAGCGAACAGACGAGGAGCUUACUCCUCUGACGUUAGCGGCGGACGGGUGAGUAACACGUGGAUAACCUACCUAUAAGACUGGGAUAACUUCGGGAAACCGGAGCUAAUACCGGAUAACAUGUUGAACCGCAUGGUUCAACAGUGAAAGACGGUCUUGCUGUCACUUAUAGAUGGAUCCGCGUCGCAUUAGCUAGUUGGUAAGGUAACGGCUUACCAAGGCAACGAUGCGUAGCCGACCUGAGAGGGUGAUCGGCCACACUGGGACUGAGACACGGUCCAGACUCCUACGGGAGGCAGCAGUAGGGAAUCUUCCGCAAUGGGCGAAAGCCUGACGGAGCAACGCCGCGUGAGUGAAGAAGGUCUUCGGAUCGUAAAACUCUGUUAUUAGGGAAGAACAAAUGUGUAAGUAACUAUGCACGUCUUGACGGUACCUAAUCAGAAAGCCACGGCUAACUACGUG